GAGAGGGUUUGAAGACGAGGCAAGAAUCUGGCAUCUUAUGCAACAAAAACCUUUAGAUCAAGGGAAAUUCUCUCAACGAAUUGCUUCUCAAACACCAUCCAUGCAUCAGUCACGAAGGCAUCCUAGCCAUGGCGGAGAUGAGUAUCUUGGCCUGGAUGAUAUAUAUGGCUUCUCAUCAAGGAUGGUGGAUCAACACCAAAGUUUCAAUUCAUCUUCCUAUUCACAAUUUCCACAGCAGAAGCUUGCGACAAAUGACCACAUCUUUAAUGGCUUCCAGCACAAUAGCUUGGACGAUAUCCAUCGUGGUAAUGAAGUGGACAACAUGACACAACACCAGUCAAAUGAUUCAUUAGGUUUCAAAAAGUUCUAUGCUGGAUAUGGAGAUGUGAUGUUCCAGACGCCCCGGUCUGGCGAUGUAUACACCAGAGUAUUUGGGAUGUAACACACAACACUUUACUAAAAUGAAAUUGUCCCCAACUAUUUUGUGUUGUUUGCAGAAAAUUAUAAAUAUGUUACCAGUUAAUUACACAUACUUGCCUGGUGUU
rnacentral:misc_RNA from 1 species